UGCUCCCUGCUGUGUUCGUGAUAAAGCUGAGCGUGUUAUGAACCGAACAACGCGCUUAAGGGAACCUAACUCUGGCUGCCUAGCGACGCCCCGUCUUCGUGCGGGGUAAGCGAAACAGUCAGGAGGGUACCCACCUGCUUAUAGGCAGGUUCAAAGCAUUCAGCCAGCGGCAUGGCGGGGGCAU
rnacentral:other from 1 species